UAGGGAAUCUUCCACAAUGGACGCAAGUCUGAUGGAGCAACGCCGCGUGAGUGAAGAAGGUUUUCGGAUCGUAAAGCUCUGUUGUUGGUGAAGAAGGAUAGAGGCAGUAACUGGUCUUUAUUUGACGGUAAUCAACCAGAAAGUCACGGCUAACUACGUGCCAGCAGCCGCGGUAAUACGUAGGUGGCAAGCGUUGUCCGGAUUUAUUGGGCGUAAAGCGAGCGCAGGCGGAAUGAUAAGUCUGAUGUGAAAGCCCACGGCUCAACCGUGGAACUGCAUCGGAAACUGUCAUUCUUGAGUGCAGAAGAGGAGAGUGGAAUUCAUGUGUAGCGGUGGAAUGCGUAGAUAUAUGGAAGAACACCAGUGGCGAAGGCGGCUCUCUGGUCUGCAACUGACGCUGAGGCUCGAAAGCAUGGGUAGCGAACAGG
rnacentral:rRNA from 1 species